AAUAACAGUUGAUGUGUUUCAAGUGCUCUAAAACAGACGCCCGUUUUUUUGCACUUUGAACAUGUUGACUAUUAUUUCUUAUUUAUAUAUUUUUGAAGCGAAUGAAGAUUUUUGAUCAGAUAAUAUCUUACCAUUUCAGCUUCUUAUGAUUAUUUAUUCAUGUAGUGAAUUGCCUAAGUGUUGCAAAAUUAAACUAAAUUAACCUUAAAAUGUUAUUUUGCUACUGCUUUAAAUAGUGUGGGAAGCCAUUUACUCCCAUGUUAGCAUCUAUCUAAUCUUGUUAUUUAUUUUUUUGCUUUUGUUUCAGCCUUAAAGUUGUGUUUAUGUGUUAGUUAUACGAACAAUUUUGACUGCUGCCAGUAGUUCUAAUUAUAACAAGCUUUAACUCUAUUUAUUCUUAGAAAUUUUUACUAUUAUUAUUAAUUGUAGGUAAAAUCGAGUCUACAUUGAAAGAGGAGCUUAAAAAUAUUCUGAUUGCAAUGGAUAUACAGAUUGAUAAUCCGGUUUUAGUUUUAACUCAGGAUACAAGUCGCAAUUUUCUAAUGGCCAAAA